AGAAGCUCCAUUUAAGCUCAGGCUGGGCCCCAUCUCCUGUCCUGUCUCCUGGAUGGACCUUGGAGCUGUGUUACAGCUGUGUCCCCUGAUGCUGUGAUGGGACCUCUGGCUGGACCUGGCUCCUCACUUGGUGUAACUCAAGAGUCAUGUUGGCUGUGCACUGACGCAAGAGCCUGGGCUGAAAGAAUGAGCCUCGUCUCUCCAAGGCAGAAAGCACUGAUGGAAAGAGAUCAGGAUGAGCUCCACUGAAUCCAGAGAGCUCUGCAAGUCAGAGGAGACCUGCAUUCAUCUCCAUUUUUACAAACAGGCAACCUGGAGCAAAGAUAAGCAGUUUGCUGAAGGCCACAUGGGAAGGCAGAGUCCGGGUUGAUCUGGUGAAUGGGGGAAAUCUGGGUCCUAGCUCUGCUCCUGCUUCACCAGGCUGUAAUUCUCCCACCAGCCCGUUCUGAUAAUGGAAUAUCCUGUGAAUGUGUUUGGCAUCUGCACCCUCCAAGCUGCCCUGUGUAAAUCAUGGCUGAGGACAUCAUCCUGCUCUUAUUUUUGAGC